CCAAGGUCGAGGGUUCAAUCC
rnacentral:miRNA from 1 species